UCAUCUGGCCUUGUAACAAUAACCGGAACGGCCUUGCUGUGCUGGUACUGCGAACGGCUGAAAGCAAGGGGAAACUACGGCCGUAAUUUUUCCCGAGGGCAUGCAGCUUUACUGUAUGGUUAAUGAAUGAUGACGUCCUCUUGGGUAAAAUAUUCCGGAGGUAAAAUUGUCCCCCAUUUGGAUCUCGGGGAGUACUCGAGAUGACGUGGUUAUCAGGAGAAAGAAAACUGGCAUUCUACAGAUCGGAGCGUGGAAUGUCAGAUCCCUUAAUUGGGCAGGGAGAUUAGAAAAUUUAAAAACUGAAAUGGAUAGGCUGAAGUUAGCUAUAGUGGAAAUUAGUGAAGUUGGGUGGCAGGAGGAACAAGACUUUUGGUCAGGUGAAUACAGGGUUAUAAAUACAAAAUCAAAUAGGGGUAAUGCAGGAGUAGGUUUCAUAAUGAAUAAAAAAAUAGGAGUGGGGGUAAGCUACUACUAACAGCAUAGUGAUCACAUUAUUGGGGCCAAGAUAGACACGAAGCCCAUGCCUACUACAGUAGUACAAGUUUCUAUGCCAACUAGCUCUGCAGAUGAUGAAGAAAUUGAUGAAAUGUAUGAUGAGGUAAAAGAAAUUAUUCAGGUAGUGAAGGGAGACGAAAAUUUAAUAGUCAGGGUGAAUAUGGAUUGGGGGGAGAAAUGAAAGAGGAAGCCGUCUGGUAGAAUUUUGCACAGAGUGUAACUUAAUCAUAGCUAACACUUGGUUCAAGAAUCAUAAAAGGAGGUUGUAUACAUGGAAGAAACCUGGAGGUACUAGAAGGUAUCAGAUAGAUUAUAUAAUGGUAAGACAGAGAUUUAGGAACCAAGUUUUAAAUUGCAAGACAUUUCCAGGGGCAGAUGUGGACUCUGACCACAAUCUAUUGGUUAUGAACCGUAGGUUAAAACUGAAGAAACAACAAAAAGGUGGGAAUUUGAGGAGAUGGGACCUGGAUAAACUGUAAGGACCAGACGUAGAGAGCUUCAGGGAAAGCAUUAGGGAAUCAUUGACAAGAAUGGUGGAAAGAAAUACAGUAGAAGAAGAAUGGGUAGCUCUGAGGGGUGAAGUAGUGAAGGCAGCAGAGGAUCAAGUAGGUAAAAAGACGAGGGCUAGUAGAAAUCCUUGGGUAACAGAAGAAAUAUUGAAUUUAAUUGAUGAAAGGAGAAAAUAUAAAAAUGCAGUAAAUGAAGCAGGCAAAAGGGAAUACAAACGUCUCAAAAAUGAGAUCGACAGGAUGUGCAAAAUGGCUAAGCAGAGAUGGCUAGAGGACAAAUUUAAGGAUGUAGAGGCUUAUCUCACUAGGGGUAAGAUAGAUACUGCCUACAGGAAAAUUAAAGAGACCUUUGGAGAAAAGAGAGCCACUUGUAUGAGUACCAAGGGCUCUGAUGGAAACCCAGUUCUAACCAAAGAAGGGAAAGCAGAAAGGUGGAAGGAUUAUAUAGAGGGUCUAUACAAGGGCGAUGGGAUGAAAUGGGAGAUACAAUACUGCGUGAAAAGUUUGACAGAGCACUGAAAGACCUGAGUCGAAACAAGGCCCCGGGAGUAGACUACUGAUGGCCUUGGGAGAGCCAGUCCUGACAAAACUCUCCCAUCUGGUGAGCAAGAUGUAUGAAACAGGCGAAAUACCCUCAGACUUCAAGAAGAAUAUAAUAAUUCUAAUCCCAAAGAAAACAGGUGUUGACAGAUGUGAAAAUUACCAAACUAUUAGUUUAAUAAGUCACAGCUCAAAAUACUCACCUGAAUUCUUUACAGACGAGUGGAAAAACUGGUAGAAGCCGACCUCGGGGAAGAUCAGUUUGCAUUCCGCAGAAAUGUUGGAACACGUGAGGCAAUACUAACCGUACGACUUAUCUUAGGAAAUAGAUUAAGGAAAGGCAAGCCUACAUUUCUAGCGUUUGUAGACUUAGAGAAAGCUUUUGAAAAUGUUGACUGGAAUACUCUCUUUCAAAUUCUAAAGGUGGCAGGGGUAAGAUACAGGGAGUAGGUAUUAAAGUCCAUGGAGAAGAAAUAAGAACUUUGAGGUUCGAAGAUGACAUUGUAAUUCUGUCAGACACAGCAAAGGACUUGGAAGAGCAUUUGAACGGAAUGGAGAGUGUCUUGAAAGGUGGAUAUAAAUGAACAUCAACAAAAGCAAAUCGAGGAUAAUUGAAUGUAGUCGAAUUAAGUCGGGUGAUACUGAGGGAAUUAGAUUAGGAAAUAAGACACUUAAAGUAGUAAAGGAGUUUUGCUAUUUGGGGAACAAAAUAACUGAUGAUGGUCGAAGUAGAGAGGAUAUAAAAUGUACACUGACAAUGAAGAAGAGAAAUUUGUUAACAUCGAGUAUAGAUUUAAGUGUCAGGAAGUCGUUUCUGAAAGUAUUUGUAUGGAGUGUAGCCAUGUAUGGAAGUGAAACAGGAAAAUAAAUAGUUUGGACAAGAAGAGAAUAGAAGCUUUUGAAAUGUGGUGUUACAGAAGAAUGUUGAAGAUUAGGUGAGUAGAUCAUGUAACUAAUGAGGAGGUAUUGAAUAGAAUUGGGGAUAAGAGGAGUUUGUGGCACAACUUGACAAGAAGAAGGGAUCGGUUAGUAGGACAUGUUCUGAGGCAUCAAGGGAUCACAAAUUUAGCAUUGGAGGGCAACGUGGAGGGUAAAAAUCGUAGAGGGAGAGCAAGAGAUGAAUACACUAAGCAGAUUCAGAAGGAUGUAGGUUGCAGUAGGUACUGGGAGAUGAAGGAGCUUGCACAGGAUAGAUUAGCAUGGAGAGCUGCAUCAAACCAGUCUCAGGACUGAAGACCACAACAACAACAACCACUGCAUGAAAAAGUAACAUCUGUCCACACUGAAAAUUGCAUCACAACAAACCUGUCAUUGGUACCCGAAGUACAUUUCAGUCACUCAGUAUAGUGAUAACUCAAAAUAUCAUUGUCAACAGAUCUGGAGAAAUUGCCACUGCGUGUUUAGACCGUUUUCGUCAGACGAUAGACACGGUUCUGACUCUGAUUACUGGUUGCUGUACGUAUCUAUCCACAUCAAGGACGUUGAGAGAGUCUCGUGAAGGUUCAAGACAGCUCUUAGAGGAUUUGCAGUUUAAAAGUGACAUAAUUGUGAAAUAAGUGUGCAGGAACAGCACUAGACGAUCUCGAUUUACUAGACAGGCAACUGGAGGCUGGUCAUCGGCAGAUGCAACAGCAGCCUCCAGCAAGUAAUGACGAGAUGGCCAGGCAGAAUACUUAUGAUGACCCGUCACUCCUAUACGACAAUUGCGAUGAUGUUUUUGACGGUGCGGUGGAAUCACCUGAUGAAUUGUUUAUGGCCUG